rnacentral:rRNA from 1 species
CCUACGGGAGGCAGCAGUGAGGAAUAUUGGUCAAUGGCCGUAAGGCUGAACCAGCCAAGUCGCGUGAAGGAAGAAGGAUCUAUGGUUUGUAAACUUCUUUUAUAGGGGAAUAAAGGUAUCCACGUGUGGAUCUUUGCAUGUACCCUAUGAAUAAGCAUCGGCUAACUCCGUGCCAGCAGCCGCGGUAAUACGGAGGAUGCGAGCGUUAUCCGGAUUUAUUGGGUUUAAAGGGUGCGUAGGUUGUUUUUUAAGUCAGCGGUGAAAGUUUGUGGCUCAACCAUAAAAUUGCCGUUGAAACUGGAAGACUUGAGUGUGUUUGAGGUAGGCGGAAUGCGUGGUGUAGCGGUGAAAUGCAUAGAUAUCACACAGAACUCCGAUUGCGAAGGCAGCUUACUAAGCCAUAACUGACACUGAAGCACGAAAGCGUGGGGAUCAAACAGGAUUAGAUACCCCGGGUAGUC